rnacentral:rRNA from 1 species
UACAGAGGGGGCAAGCGUUGUUCGGAAUUACUGGGCGUAAAGGGCGCGUAGGCGGCCCGCUAAGUCGAACGUGAAAUCCCCGAGCUCAACUCGGGAACUGCGUCCGAUACUGGCGGGCUUGAAUCCGGGAGAGGGAUGCGGAAUUCCAGGUGUAGCGGUGAAAUGCGCAGAUAUCAGGAGGAACACCGGUGGCGAAGGCGGGUCUCUGGGCCGAUACUGACGCUGAGGAGCGAAAGCGUGGGGAGCGAACAGG